GUCGAUAAAAAAAAAGAGAGAGAUGAGUACGAAAAUAGUAAAUUGUAAACGCCGAAAUUUUAAGGAGUUCACUCCGACGAGAAUUUUACUAGCAGUCUUAUUUUGUUUUCUUCUUCUCUCGCUCUCUUUUUCC
rnacentral:ribozyme from 1 species